GUGACUGAGGGAUCAUGCAUAUUUCUGUCCAGACUGUGGCCUUCUGAGUUUUCUUGUCCCCUAAUGAAGCUUGUUUCUAAUCCCUAUACUGUGACAUUGUAGAGAAGCCUAGACGGGAUCUCCAUCCCUAACAAAGAAAAAUUGAAACUACACCACAAAAUCCACCUGGAAUUCAAGCAUGGAAUGAAGACUUAAUGGAGAGAAAAUUAUCAAGGCAAAAGACAAAAUUUCAGAGAUCAGAGAUACAACUUCAUUUAUAAUUCUGUACACACAACUGAUGAGGCUGACUUCAGUUGAAAAGGAGGUAUAAAUAGUCCACCUAGAUUCUAACAGACAAAGGGGUGGCAGAAUUAUCAGGAAGAUGUUGUGAGGGAUGGGGGGUUAAACUUGGAUAGGAAGAUGUGAAAUUUAAAAUCAGAUGAGGCAGUGGAAGACUUUUUGAAAGAAAUUAUGGACAAAGUUUACUCCCUUGAGCCCAAUAUCAAAAAUGUUUCUUUCUAAACAACCCUAUAUAAGCUGACUAAAUUAAUGACAACAACAAACCCAUAUGACAAAUGACAUUUUGUUGGCAAUGCAGGACACAAAGAGUCAGUAACCUCAAAUAUCCUGUCUCCUUCAUCUGGGAGACUUGUUGCCCAUGUUGGGUGUGCAGGUUUCUUCAUGUAGCUUGCAUAUGCCUACUGAUAGGGAUGUUGGUGUUGACUUUUUGUGAAUGAACAUCACUAGGUCACUACUUUGGGUGCUUUUUUAAGGAGGAAGCAGGAAGUGUAGCUAGAUCUGAGAAUACCACAGAGAUAGGCAGAAUGCCCACUGCCUGUGACCAGGGUCUAAUCCUAUAAUUUCCUUUUUCUAUCACCAGAAACUAUUAUUUGCUUUUCAUUGGCUAACUUCUUCCAAGUCUGUUAUAUCAGAAAUAAGGCUUAACUUUUUAUUCAAUCAAUUUCUUUUAAUUACAGGAAUUUCAGCAACAUGAAAAAAUGAAAUUUACUGUUUAACAAAUCUUGAUAAAUACUACUGUUUACUAUCUUAAAAACUGUAUAAGAUCAAGAAUAAGAAGAAAAGAAGAAGAGGAAGGGGAAGGAGGAGAAGAAGAGGAGAGGAGGAGGAAAAACAAGGAGGAGGAAAAGAGGAGGAAGGAAAGAAGAAGAAGAGGAAGAGGAAGAAGGAGGAGGAGGAGAAGAAGAGGAAGAUGAGAAAGAAGAGGAAGAAGGAGAACAACAUGAUUAAUGGUUUCUCUACUCCCCCUCAUCUCUCAGGGUGAUCAGGAGUUAUUUGGAACACUUUAGAACCUAAUCAGACUUGAUGCCAUCCAAAAAUGCAUGGGAAGAGGAGAGCCAAUUCUGACUUUGAUCAUGCCUCUUAACAUCAAAACAAGACCAGAAAAAGUCACACGUGACUGCUCCCCUCCUUGCAACGCUGGAAUUGCUCUUUCACAGAGGGCAAAGUUAGAGUCGUGUAUACUCACCCCAAGUUGGGGCAAUGUUGCCACCAAUACUUUCACCCUCUUCCUUGGGUCUAGACUUUGCCCUCUUCUACUAAAGUGUCUUAUUUUACAAAAUUAAAAAAAAAAAAGUGUAUGAGGUGAUAGUAAUUGUUCCCCGUGUAAGUGAGGGAGGGUUUUCUAAAGAAAGGAGCAGGAAAAGCUUUGACAGGGAUGACUGAAUAAGCAGGAAAUGUGAUAGUAGAGAAAAGAUGUGAGGCAUCUAUUAAGCAAGAGAGAGUAAUUCUACAGCCACCCAUUGCCUGCUUUGGCUGUUUCCUAGCCACUCAUAGGAUGAGUAGUUCUAGACUAGGACCUGUGGUGGAUGUUCUCUGAUUCUGCAGCUUCCUGGUCAAUGAUGGAUGUAGAAGUGACCUUGGUGGUCCAGUUCUGUGGUACGUCAUUGUCGGAACCUCACUUUGUCAGUCCUUGUAACAAUUCUGUGACUUGUUUAGAUCCCUUAACUGUUCUAUUAAACUGACUGAUUGAUUUAACUUGCCUGAAAUUAAGAACUUGUUGGAUGAUAAUCUCCAGGGGUUUCUCUCACAUUCCUGUUCAUCUUACUGCUUUUGUUCCUUACUGUCCUUUGAAAGAUGUUUAGCGUAGUGAGCAGCCUUGGGAGACAGUGAGAGUGUGUCCCUUUGGAGCAGAGAGUAGAUAUGCUUAUGGUUCAAUAUAAUGAAGCUGUCAUGUUGUGAGCUUCCCUAGAGAGAGGGCCAUGUUGCAAGAAACUGAGGGUGACUACCAGUCAACAGUCCACGAGCAACUAGUUUCUGUAGUCUAACAACCUGCACUGAGGUGUUGCAUCCUAUCAAGGAUAAUGUGAGUGAACUUGAAGAUACUCCUUCCAGUGGAGCCUUGAGACUAACUGACUCUGAGCAAAACCCUGAUUGCUGCCUUGGAAGAGGCCUUGAACUUGAGGACCCCACUAAGAUGUGCAUGGAUUCCUGUCCUACAGAUAUUCUGAGGUAGUUGAUGUUGCUGCUUUAAGCUUCCAAGUCAAGGGGAAAUUUACUGUUCAGCCAAAGGUAACUUAAACAUCUCUAUCUGAGCUUCUGACUCUGGGACAUGGGUGGCAACUAAAAGAUAGAGGAAGCCUGGAUCAUGGUUGAAGAAAAGCUACCUGACCAGGAACACUUCCUUUUUGACUUUUAUGUGGCUGAGAAUUUAACUGCUUGAGUCACUGACACUUUGGGGUGAAUAAAUAGAGCAGCUAGAAUUACUUACCUUAACAAUACAGUCUGCUGUCUCUUAGUUGUUUUGUUACAUAUUUGGCAUAUUUCUGACCCAAUAGUGUGCUAUAUAGAUUUCCAGUAUUUAAAAAAUAUGAUUAAUUUUAAUCUUUUCAAUAUAUUUUCCUCUGUUGUUUUGAAACAUACACUCUAUUCUGUUUUUUUCUAAUGUUUGAUCUUAACCUUUAACAUAUGUAUUUAAUGUCACUUAAUAAGCAAGGCCAGUAAGUUGUGAUCAGAAAGAAACUUUAUAUUGGUCCCUAACAACUCAUUAAAUACUGAAUCAAUGAGGACAGUUUAUUCCUGCUCCUAGAUAAAAAUGCAUGCAGUCCAUGACUUAUCUGAUAAUUCUCACCUAAUUCAAUGACUCAUAACUACUUUGAGCUAAAAUAAAACAAAUUUUAGAAAAGAAAGGAUCUAGCAUGUGUGCUAUUACCAAAUUUCUUGGAUAUUCCUAAUCCACUUGGAAUUUUAGAACAACAUAGAACAUAGUCUUAAUUUGGAAACUAGAAUAACAAAUCCAAUAUAUUAAUUUCCAUGUUAGUCAUCAUUUAAAGGGAAGACAGCUCUCCCCCACUCUCUGAGAUGGGCUAGGUUCUAUGGGAAAAGGGGUGUGGUACUUACCCUCCCUUCAGAAGCCUUGUGUCCACCCUUCCGUCUCUUCCUGAUAAGUUUCUGACUCAUCUAGUGUCAAAGCAAGAGGAGAGAGUAUUGAAAGGAGAGCAAUUGUUCUUGUUUGACUGACAUGCUUAAAAUGUGACAUGUACAGGUUACUAAUAAAAUAUAAAUCAGUAAAGCUAUCUUCCACUUAAAAUCAUUACAGCUGUCUUCCACUUAAAGAAUAGGACAACUUUAGAAUACUUCAGCUCUCCUUAUCCCACCCAAUCAUGGAUUUUGCUCACUGUUGUAUAAGGCAUGAAUGUUGGUUAAAUUCUUUGCACCAUUACACUGGUUCUCUUCCUGCUAUCAUGUUCCUUGUUAUUCAUUCCUCAAGUCACUGUUCAAACUUCACUUCAUUUGGAAAUAGUUCCUUGACUCCCUCAGGCAACACAAUUCAUUCUUUCAUCUAUGUUCUCGCAAUAGUUUAUGUUUUAUUAACAUGUAUCUGAUUUUAAUGUAUCUCAUGCUUUGCUCUGUCACCCUCAACAGAUUGUUUGCUCUUUAAGAACAGGAGUCAUACUUUAUAUUUUAACACAAACAAGUGCUUAUUUAAUGAAUUAAUCUAUGCCUGAUGGGCCUGGCUGUAAUGUCUAAAUACAAAAAGUAUUAUUAAUAUAUUUCCCCUCUGGCUUUCUUUUUCUGAGUAUAAGUUUUGCUUAGUGGAUGUUCUGGACAAAUGAACAGAGCCCCCACAGUUACUUUGCAGCACAAAUAAUUCCUCCAGAAAUCACUCUAGGAAUUAUUGGAGGAGUUGUUAAGCAUUUUUUUGUUUUGUUUUGUUUUGUUUUGCUUUUUAGGGCCGCACAUAUGCCAUAUGGAGAUUACCAGGCUAGGGGUCUAAUCAGAACUACAGCUUCCCAGGCAAGGGUCUAAUAGGAGCUACAGCUUCCAGCCACAGGCACAGCAACGCCAGAUCCGAGGCACGUCUGCAACCCACACCAUAGCUCACAGCAACACCAGAUCCUUAACCCACUGAGGAAGGCCAGAGAUUGAACCUGCAACCUCAUGGUUCCUAGUUGGAUUUGUUUCCACUGCACCAUGAUGAGAACUCCCAGUUGAGUAUGUCCUUAAUGAGCUUUCUGUUCCCAGAAUAUGACAUAGAAAGAAUGCUAUUUUUAAUAACACUUUAUUUUAAUUCUAUUCUUUCUUCAAAAUGCUGCUGAUAGUGUAAAUAUAGUUUCCUGUAAGCGAAGAAAUACUAUUUUAACAUCUGUUAGGCUAAAGGAAUGAGCCUCAUUACUCAGAGCAGACUUGGAGAAUAAAAACCAAGAUAAUGUUAAAGAGAUUAUUUAGGAGCAAAGUGAUUUUACCAUUUCAACACAAUUUUACUGUUUUACUAUUGAGGCUAACCGGGCUGGAGAAUAUUUUUCCUUUAGUCCUUUGUAUGGAUUUCAGUGAGUUUUCUAACUAGGAUUUACACUAAUUUUACUUUCUUUUCUGAAACCUCGUUUAUGAUUUAAAAAAAAACUCUUUGUACUUGUAAGCAAGUGAGCCAGACUCAGAGAACUUAGCUAUGAAAACCCAAAGGGAUCUUACUGUAAGGAAUUCAGAAUUAAGGAUGAAGAGAAGACAGAUGGAGAAGCAAUUUAGUUAGACUAAAAUAAUUUAAACCUUGGCAAAGAAAAGCUGUAUUUGGGAAAUGAUACCUUGAUACUACAAGACUGGAGUAAAUUAAACCUAUCAUGAUUUUACCCUGGACAUAAAAUAUUUCAGUCCUUGCUAGAGACAUGUUUGAGAGAUUGCUAAAUUCUCCUUGAGCUGUCAUUCUGACAUAAUAAAUAUUAAAACUACAAACCCUUAAUUAUACUUGAUAUAUUUAUAAACUAGUUUGUAUUUAUUACUUUUUAUUUAAUACCAAAUAUUUUUCUGUUCUUCUAAUACAAAGAUCUUCCCCAAUAUCUUAUUUCUUCCUUACCCUGCUCUAACUGUUCUUUGUUACCUUAUUU
rnacentral:lncRNA from 1 species